rnacentral:lncRNA from 1 species
UAUGUGAAAAUUUGAGUUGAUACUGUUAUAAAAUUAAGUAUGAUUAUUUAUGAAAAAUUAAUCAUGAUAAAAUUAUGAGAUAAAGAAAAAUUUUUUAGUUAGAUUAUGAUCUGGAUCUAGCUAACAGGACUGAUCAUUGGCCAUUCAUUAGAAACUAGUUUUUUCUAGACCUAGCCAGUUAAGGCUGAUUGCUGAUAGAGUUAAUCUUUCUAGGUCUAAC